rnacentral:lncRNA from 1 species
CCUCUUUCUCCCAUGCUUCCUGUAUGACCAAUCCUUUUCUGGUUUGACUUAUGGUUUGUAUGGCAGCUACCACUGUACCUCCAUUAAUCUUAAGGGUUACCUUCUUCUCUACAAUGUAGUAUUUACUAUCAUCACCCUAACCCCGCGGAGAGUCGAUCCACUCUUCUAGCUUGGAGGUUUCCUUCUGUGUGUAUGUUAAGUCCAAAUUGUUAGACACCUUUCACCCUUCUAUAUGAGCUUGUACCGGCCAUGCCGCAUAAUAUGCCAUGGCUUUCAGCUCCUCUAAGUCAACUCCUUGAGUAUCCUGCUCAGUGAGUUUAAGCCAUGCUUGGGUGUCAUCGGUUGCCUUCUCCGGCAUGAGCCCAAUACUGAAAGGUCUCCACUGCCUCUGGUAAGUAUGAAUUCACUUCCAUAGCAUCCCCUCUUCUUUCGGCAGCUCUAUCUUAAACUGCUUGGUGCUUUUUAGAGGUACGAAGGCAAAUUCGAAGAGUGAUAGGUUCUCACCGUAUGCACGAUCUACUGGUUCCUAUGCAAGACGAUUGGAGCACACUUGAUCUAUACCCCCCUGAGUGUUAAAGUGUAUGUACUCAUGAACAGCUAAAGCGCUCUUGGCUACCUUGCAAGCAACUACUGCUUUAAAGCUUUGUUUACUAUCAGUAGUGAGUAUUGCCCUAUCGCCCGGCUCUAUUAGUCUCUCUUCAUCUCCGAGUUCAUAUGCUUUCCUCAUUUCGUCGAUUAUUCGUGGAGGGUUUUCUUUCCUUAUGCGCAUCUGUAUCCUGGCAUACUCCUCAUUAUAUCCAAUGGGAAUGCUUUUGGCCUGCUCCCACUGCACCCCUUUCUGGGCGAGCCUCCUCUGUAUGCAUCCCCACUGCGUUGCAAUGAUCCUUUCCGGCUUUAAUGAGGGUAUCCAGCUGGUGAACCGUAACCUCAUGAAUCUUUCGUGUCUCAGCGUGAUAUGCUCUUUGGCUACAAUAAUACUAAAACACUGUAGAGCUUUAUCUAUCCGUUGAGCUAUUUCUUAUCUAGUUAUUGCAGUUCUCUCCUUGUUGGCAUCAGCUCUGGAUAAGGUUAAUCAAUUAUACUUCCUGAAAUUGGACUUCUUAGGAGUUUUAUCCGCAGAGUUGUUCAUUGCCUGCACAUCUUCUGUUCUUCUGAGCUGGUCUACUACACAAGUUAUUGAGCUGCUUUCCUGCGGCAGCUCUCGCGUGAUAUUCCCCUCGUUACAAUUGGUAGGCUCGUUUUACUUACUUUGUUGACUUACUUGUUAGGGUCGGGGAAAUUAG